rnacentral:rRNA from 1 species
UACGGAGGGGGCGAGCGUUAUUCGGAAUUAUUGGGCGUAAAGGGCGCGUAGGCGGCUCUUUAAGUCAAAGGUGAAAUCCCUCGGCUCAACUGAGGAACUGCCUUUGAAACUGAGGAUCUUGAGUACGGGAGAGGUGAGUGGAACUGCGAGUGUAGAGGUGAAAUUCGUAGAUAUUCGCAAGAACACCAGUGGCGAAGGCGGCUUACUGGUCCGGUUCUGACGCUGAGGCGCGAAAGCGUGGGGAGCAAACAGG